CAGUAGCCGCGGGAAUACGUAGGUGGCAAGCGUUGUCCGGAAUUAUUGGGCGUAAAGGGCUCGCAGGCGGUUUCUUAAGUCUGAUGUGAAAGCCCCCGGCUCAACCGGGGAGGGUCAUUGGAAACUGGGAAACUUGAGUGCAGAAGAGGAGAGUGGAAUUCCACGUGUAGCGGUGAAAUGCGUAGAGAUGUGGAGGAAUACCAGUGGCGAAGGCGACUCUCUGGUCUGUAACUGACGCUGAGGAGCGAAAGCGUGGGGAGCGAACAGGAUUAGAUACCCCUGUAGUCCCUAUCUCUUAUAC
rnacentral:rRNA from 1 species